rnacentral:rRNA from 1 species
CCUACGGGAGGCAGCAGUGGGGAAUAUUGGACAAUGGGGGGAACCCUGAUCCAGCCAUGCCGCGUGUGUGAAGAAGGCCCUCGGGUUGUAAAGCACUUUCAGUGAGGAAGAACGCCUGGUGGUUAAUACCCAUCAGGAAAGACAUCACUCACAGAAGAAGCACCGGCUAACUCCGUGCCAGCAGCCGCGGUAAUACGGAGGGUGCGAGCGUUAAUCGGAAUUACUGGGCGUAAAGCGCGCGUAGGUGGCUUGAUAAGCCGGUUGUGAAAGCCCCGGGCUCAACCUGGGAACGGCAUCCGGAACUGUCAAGCUAGAGUGCAGGAGAGGAAGGUAGAAUUCCCGGUGUAGCGGUGAAAUGCGUAGAGAUCGGGAGGAAUACCAGUGGCGAAGGCGGCCUGCUGGACUGACACUGACACUGAGGUGCGAAAGCGUGGGUAGCAAACAGGAUUAGAUACCCGAGUAGUC